rnacentral:rRNA from 1 species
GUUUGUGAUAUAUAAUAAGUGACUAAGCGAAAGCGAUAAGUAAUCCACCUGGGGAGUACGCUGGCAACAGUGAAACUCAAAGGAAUUGACGGGGGCCCGCACAAGCGGAGGAACAUGUGGUUUAAUUCGAUGAUACGCGAGGAACCUUACCCGGGCUUGAAAUGCAGACGAAUAACGUGGAAACAUGUUAGCUAGCAAUAGCGUCUGUGUAGGUGCUGCAUGGUUGUCGUCAGCUCGUGCCGUGAGGUGUCGGCUUAAGUGCCAUAACGAGCGCAACCCACAUUAUUAGUUACUAACAGGUCUAGCUGAGGACUCUAAUAAGACUGCCGGCGUAAGCUGUGAGGAAGGUGUGGAUGACGUCAAAUCAGCACGGCCCUUACGUCCGGGGCGACACACGUGUUACAAUGGGUGGUACAAAGGGCAGCUACUGUGCGAGCAGAUGCUAAUCUCCAAAGCCACUCCCAGUUCGGAUCGGAGUCUGCAACUCGACUCCGUGAAGCUGGAUUCGCUAGUAAUCGCGCAUCAGCCAUGGCGCGGUGAAUACGUUCCCGGCGCCUUGUACACACCGCCCGUCAAGCCAUGGGAGCUGGGGGUAUCUGAAGUGCGUAACCGCAAGGAGCGUCCUAGGGUAAAACCGGUGACUGGGGYUAAGUCGUAACAAGGUAACCGUA